rnacentral:sRNA from 1 species
GUACUGAACAGUUGGUCUAUGUUAGAGUUACUUUGAACCAAUCGGAUUUGGGGGCAUAUGAAAAAGACAUUGUUGACAACUUUCAGGACACAUUGAAAUCAUAUAUGAAUUGGUUGAUUUACUGGACAUAUACAAAAAUUAUACAUAAAAACACUGAACAUGGUGUAUCAACAGCUGAUAUUUUCUAUGAUAUCGCAAUAGUGUAUGAUAAAAACUUCCCUGACUACUUCAUAAGCAACUUCAUUUAUUACUAUUUUGUGACUGGAACAAGAAAGAUAUCAAUAAAUGGCACUGAUUUUGAAAUAAUAACUUUCAAAUUUUUUGCUAGUCCUGAGGAAGCAAGACUUGGAAUUAAUC